rnacentral:rRNA from 1 species
AUGGCAACCUCGGCGGUGAGUUACAGCAGGAUCAGGUCGUCGCACGGCGAGCCGCCGCUGAGCGAAGAGCUGCUCGUCGACGAGAUCCUCACGCGCUGCCGGUGGACGCCGCGGUGCGCUUCCGGGCUGUCUGCGGGGCGUGGAACGCGGCGCUCACCUCCGACCACUUCGUCGCCGCGCACGCCGCCCGAGCGGCCGCGGCGCGCCACCCUGAGAUCGUCUUCUUCUCGCCGACCGUGCGGGGCGUCGCUCGCGACGUCCUUCUACGCGUGCCCGAUCCCGGUGGACGGGGGCGCGCCGCCCGCCAUCGCGGCUGCUCGCGAGCUGCUCACCGCGGGCGACCUGGCCGGGGAGCACCUCGUGCUGUCCGGGAAUAGGCCGUGCCGCGGCCUGACGCUCUUCUUCGACGUCCGGCUGUCGGAGUACCACGUCUUCAAUCUCUCCACCGGCGAGCACGUGUCCCUGCCGCCGUGCGAGCCGGCGGAGGAGAUAACGCCGGCGGUUCCAAAGCUGAUGCAGGUCAAACGGUUUCCUCUGGAGCUCUCCAGCACCGGCCUCGGCUUCGACCCGGCCACCGGCGAGCACGGGGAACACAAGGUGGCCAGGCUCUUCAGGAACAUGUUCGGGCAGCAGAAGUGCGAGGUGUGCCCCCUGACGCCAUCAGGCGUGGGGCAGUGGCGGCCCUGCGCCGGCGGCAACGCGCCGCCCGGCUUCGCGUGCCACGUCGACGGCAGGGCUCCCGUGGCCCUCGACGGAUCCCUCUACUGGCUGCUGCACCGGCGGAGCCUCGCCGACGACGGCAGCGCCAGGGGCCCGCAGCAGGACGCGCCCAUCCUGUCGCUCUCCGUCGGCGCCGAGCGGUUCGGGUGGGUGCGCACGCCGCCGCGGCUGGCGUCACGCAUCCGGCACCUCACCAACCUCGACGGCUCCCUCUGCGCCGUCGUCCACGACCAUCUCGUCGACGACGUGCUCCUGCUCGUCACGUGGAGUCCGUCGUCGCCAUCGUGGUCUGCGCGCUGCCGCGUCGACGUGGGCAGCCUGCCCCGGCCGAUCCGGGACGAGCUCAGCGGGGAGCGGGAGAUCGUCCCGCUGUGCAGUGUGAAGAAGAAGAUCCUGCUGGCGACGAGCCGGCACAAGGUGUACGCCUACGACACGGAGCAAGGCGCCGCCGAGGAGGUGUUCGACAUGAACCGCUUUGUCGACGUGCCGCCCCACAACAGCGAGUCACGGCUGUUCGUCAACAUUGGCCUCCACGAGGAACGCAUCGCCGGCGUCGGCCUGAAGUCGGCGGGUGACAACUGGCUACAGGUGAAGCGGGGACGAGGCAUGGUGCUCGGCAUGCGGGAGGCGUCGUCGAUGUGCCAGCUAGAACAUCGGGACCAGGACGAGGAUUUUCACAGGACGACGGAGGAAACAUAUCAAGAUCCC